rnacentral:rRNA from 1 species
UUGGAGGGCAAGUCUGGUGCCAGCAGCCGCGGUAAUUCCAGCUCCAAUAGCGUAUAUUAAAGUUGUUGCAGUUAAAAACGCUCGUAGUUGAAUUUCGGGGUUAGUAGGUUGGUCAUGCCUCUGGUAUGUACUGGUCUCACUGAUUCCUCCUUCCUUAUGAACCCGUAAUGCCAUUAAUUUGGUGUUGCGGGGAAUUUGGACUGUUACUUUGAAAAAACUUAGAGUGUUUAAAGCAAGCUAACGCUUGAAUACAUUAGCAUGGAAUAAUGAAAUAGGACG